UACGGGGGGGAGCAAGCGUUGUUCGGAUUUACUGGGCGUAAAGGGCGCGUAGGCGGCCGCCGCAAGUCAGUUGUGAAAUCUCCGAGCUUAACUCGGAAAGGUCAACUGAUACUGCGGGGCUAGAGUGCGGAAGGGGCAACUGGAAUUCUUGGUGUAGCGGUGAAAUGCGUAGAUAUCAAGAGGAACACCUGCGGCGAAGGCGGGUUGCUGGGCCGACACUGACGCUGAGGCGCGAAAGCUAGGGGAGCGAACGGG
rnacentral:rRNA from 1 species